AAAGUCUUAGAGAUAAGACCCUUCUUCGGAACACGAAAACAGGUGCUGCAUGGUUGUCGUCAGCUCGUGUCGUGAGAUGUUAGGUUAAGUCCUGCAACGAGCGCAACCCUCAUAUACAGUUGCCAAUAUUCAGUUAGGAACUCUGUAUAGACUGCCGUGGUUAACACGGAGGAAGGUGGGGAUGACGUCAAAUCAUCACGGCCCUUACGGCCUGGGCUACACACGUGCUACAAUGGCUAUUACAAAGAGUUGCAAUACAGUAAUGUGGAGCGAAUCUCAAAAAGAUAGUCUCAGUUCGGAUUGUGGGCUGCAACCCGCCCACAUGAAGUCGGAGUUGCUAGUAAUCCCGAAUCAGCAUGUCGGGGUGAAUGCGUUCCCGGGUCUUGUACACACCGCCCGUCACGCCAUGGGAGUUGGGAGUGCCCAAAGUCGGUGACCUAACCGCAAGGAAGGAGCCGCCUAAGGUAAUACCAAUGACUGGGGUGAAGUCGUAACAAGGUAGCCGUAUCGGAAGGUGCG
rnacentral:rRNA from 1 species